rnacentral:rRNA from 1 species
GAUGAACGCUGGCGGCGUGCCUAAUACAUGCAAGUCGAACGAACUUCCGUUAAUUGAUCAUGACGUGCUUGCACUGAAUGAGAUUUUAACACGAAGUGAGUGGCGGACGGGUGAGUAACACGUGGGUAACCUGCCCAGAAGCAGGGGAUAACACCUGGAAACAGAUGCUAAUACCGUAUAACAGAGAAAACCGCCUGGUUUUCUUUUAAAAGAUGGCUCUGCUAUCACUUCUGGAUGGACCCGCGGCGCAUUAGCUAGUUGGUGAGGUAACGGCUCACCAAGGCGAUGAUGCGUAGCCGACCUGAGAGGGUAAUCGGCCACAUUGGGACUGAGACACGGCCCAGACUCCUACGGGAGGCAGCAGUAGGGAAUCUUCCACAAUGGACGCAAGUCUGAUGGAGCAACGCCGCGUGAGUGAAGAAGGGUUUCGGCUCGUAAAGCUCUGUUGUUAAAGAAGAACGUGGGUGAGAGUAACUGUUCACCCAGUGACGGUAUUUAACCAGAAAGCCACGGCUAACUACGUGCCAGCAGCCGCGGUAAUACGUAGGUGGCAAGCGUUAUCCGGAUUUAUUGGGCGUAAAGCGAGCGCAGGCGGUCUUUUAAGUCUAAUGUGAAAGCCUUCGGCUCAACCGAAGAAGUGCAUUGGAAACUGGGAGACUUGAGUGCAGAAGAGGACAGUGGAACUCCAUGUGUAGCGGUGAAAUGCGUAGAUAUAUGGAAGAACACCAGUGGCGAAGGCGGCUGUCUGGUCUGUAACUGACGCUGAGGCUCGAAAGCAUGGGUAGCGAACAGGAUUAGAUACCCUGGUAGUCCAUGCCGUAAACGAUGAUUACUAAGUGUUGGAGGGUUUCCGCCCUUCAGUGCUGCAGCUAACGCAUUAAGUAAUCCGCCUGGGGAGUACGACCGCAAGGUUGAAACUCAAAAGAAUUGACGGGGGCCCGCACAAGCGGUGGAGCAUGUGGUUUAAUUCGAAGCUACGCGAAGAACCUUACCAGGUCUUGACAUCUUCUGCCAACCUAAGAGAUUAGGCGUUCCCUUCGGGGACAGAAUGACAGGUGGUGCAUGGUUGUCGUCAGCUCGUGUCGUGAGAUGUUGGGUUAAGUCCCGCAACGAGCGCAACCCUUAUUACUAGUUGCCAGCAUUCAGUUGGGCACUCUAGUGAGACUGCCGGUGACAAACCGGAGGAAGGUGGGGACGACGUCAAAUCAUCAUGCCCCUUAUGACCUGGGCUACACACGUGCUACAAUGGAUGGUACAACGAGUCGCGAAACCGCGAGGUUUAGCUAAUC